UACGUAGGGUGCGAGCGUUAAUCGGAAUUACUGGGCGUAAAGCGUGCGCAGGCGGUUCGUUAAGUUCGAUGUGAAAGCCCCGGGCUCAACCUGGGAACUGCAUUGGAAACUGGCGAGCUUGAAUGCGGCAGAGGGGGGUGGAAUUCCGCGUGUAGCAGUGAAAUGCGUAGAGAUGCGGAGGAACACCGGUGGCGAAGGCAGCCCCCUGGGCCGACAUUGACGCUCAGGCACGAAAGCGUGGGGAGCAAACAGG
rnacentral:rRNA from 1 species